GAUUAUGGCUCAGGAUGAACGCUAGCUACAGGCUUAACACAUGCAAGUCGAGGGGCAGCAUGAUCAAGCUUGCUUUGAUUGAUGGCGACCGGCGCACGGGUGAGUAACGCGUAUCCAACCUUCCCUAUAGUAGUGGAUAGCCCGGCGAAAGUCGGAUUAAUACACUAUGUUAUUCAACGAGGACAUCUGAAAUGAAUCAAAGGUUUACCGCUAUAGGAUGGGGAUGCGUCUGAUUAGAUAGUAGGCGGGUAACGGCCCACCUAGUCGACGAUCAGUAGGGGUUCUGAGAGGAAGGUCCCCCACAUUGGAACUGAGACACGGUCCAAACUCCUACGGGAGGCAGCAGUGAGGAAUAUUGGUCAAUGGACGGGAGUCUGAACCAGCCAAGUAGCGUGCAGGAUGACGGCCCUAUGGGUUGUAAACUGCUUUUAUACGGGGAUAAAGUGAGCCACGUGUGGCUUUUUGUAGGUACCGUAUGAAUAAGGACCGGCUAAUUCCGUGCCAGCAGCGGC
rnacentral:rRNA from 1 species